GCAUCCUUAGCUCAGCUGGUUAGAGCGUACGAUUCACAUUCGUAAGGUCACAGGUUCGAUUCCUGUAGGGUGCACCA
rnacentral:tRNA from 2 species